rnacentral:tRNA from 14 species
AUCUAUAGCUCAGUGGUAAAGCGUUCGAUUGCAAAA